rnacentral:rRNA from 1 species
UACGUAGGGGGCAAGCGUUAUCCGGAUUUAUUGGGCAUAAAGUGCGUGUAGGUGGUGACUUAAGUUAGAAAUCAAAGCCCUUGGCUCAACCAAUGGAUGUUUCUAAUACUGGGACACUAGAGGAUAGUAGAGGAAAGCGGAACUCACGGUGUAGCGGUGAAAUGCGUAGAUAUCGUGAGGAACACCAGUUGCGAAGGCGGCUUUCUGGACUAAACCUGACACUAAUGCGCGAAAGCAUGGGGAGCAAACGGG